AUUGAACGCUGGCGGCAGGCCUAACACAUGCAAGUCGAGCGAGCGGCGGACGGGUGAGUAAUGUAUGGGGACUGCCCGAUAGAGGGGGAUAACUACUGGAAACGGUGGCUAAUACCGCAUACUAUCGGAUAACCCAUAUGGGAUUAGCUAGUAGGUGGGGUAAAGGCUUACCUAGGCGACGAUCUCUAGCUGGUCUGAGAGGAUGAUCGGACACACUGGGGCAGUGACACGGCCCAGACUCCUACGGGGGCAGGAGUGGGGAAUAUAGGACAAUGGGCGCAAGCCUGAUGCAGCCAUGCCGCGUGUAUGAAGAAGGCCUUAGGGUUGAAAAGUACUUUCAGAGGGGGGGCGUUACCCGCAGAAGGAGCACCGGCUAACUCCGUGCCAGCAGCCGCGGUAAUAC
rnacentral:rRNA from 1 species